AUACGGAGGGUGCAAGCGUUACUCGGAAUCACUGGGCGUAAAGCGCGCGCAGGCGGUCUUUUAAGUUGGAUGUGAAAGCCUACAGCUCAACUGUAGAACUGCAUCCAAAACUAUUAGACUAGAGUCUGGGAGGGGAAGAUGGAAUUAGUUGUGUAGGGGUAAAAUCCGUAGAGAUAACUAGGAAUACCAAAAGCGAAGGCGAUCUUCUGGAACAGUACUGACGCUGAGGCGCGAAAGCGUGGGGAGCGAACAGGAUUAGAAACCCUAGUAGUCC
rnacentral:rRNA from 1 species